rnacentral:rRNA from 1 species
UACAGAGGGGGCAAGCGUUAUUCGGAAUUAUUGGGCGUAAAGGGCGCGUAGGCGGCUUUGCAAGUGACGGGUGAAAUCCCUCGGCUUAACCGAGGAACUGCCUGUCAGACUGUGAGGCUUGAGACCGGGAGAGGUGAGUGGAAUUCCUGGUGUAGCGGUGAAAUGCGCAGAUAUCAGGAGGAACACCAAUGGCGAAGGCAGCUCGCUGGGACGGUAUUGACGCUGAGACGCGAAAGCGUGGGGAGCAAACAGG